GACUUCUCUGAUGUCCUUAGUGGUUAGAGCAUUUGUCUCGGAUGCAGGAGGUUGCUGGUUCAAACCCAGGACAAGUCA